UUGGUCACAAGGGGAACCAGUCCCGUUUACUCUGCACCAAGAGCUGCUUCACUGAGGCACCAGCAAAACCGCCGUGCCGGCCACAAGAGUCACACUGGCGACCCGUGGGGCUCCUCCACUGGAAAUCUUCUGGUCUGGCCUCCCAGUCUUUCAGUGACGGCUUAGGGCUUCCCUCUUCAGCGACAUUCAGGUUCCGGAAUGACAUCUUUGUAUCCCCCUCCCCUCAGUCACCAGGCCAUUCUACCAGUCUGAUUCUUCACAAAAUACGGCAGAAGAUCAGCCAACACAACUCUGAGGAAGAAAGAGGGCCAACUUCUAAGACUUGAAUGCUUCACUCAUGUCUGACCUCCCUUUUUACAAAAGCUUGUAUUAAUUCCUCAUGCUCCUGUAGGACAGGAUUGUUUCACACACUGAAAAACCAUCAUGAUUCUGGUAAGCGUAUGACAUAAGGUAAGUGUAAGCCUCACAGAAUCAGGCUCUUACCUACCUAUGAUACUGCAGGUAAUCUGCCAGCUCCUACCGCCAAUAAGAUAGCCCCAGAAGUAACAUAACAGCACCUAAAGCUACUUAUGUACUUUUCACUCAGCGGGAUCUCUCUUUGUGGUAUUCAUGCCAUGUCAUGUUGCAAUUGGUAGUAGAGCUUGGUGAAUGUCUGGUUCGGGAGUAUGUUUUAUCUAACAAAUCCUCAUGUUUCUUAGAAAGUCUUUUGUUUCUUUUAAUUCUCCUAUAGUAGCUGGUACAGCCUCUGCUGUUAGAAGAUACUGAAAUAUCCUUUCAUAUUCAGAAAUAUGAAAGAAAAAUGAAGACUGUGCUUUUCAAAUAACUAGGAAGUUACAGCUCAGUGAACUUUUAACUUUGUGUGGGUCGGGGAAGUAAUGCCACUUAUCAAUAAUCUAGAAAAAUGUUCAUCCCUACUGUAAUGCUCAUAGCAUGACUUACGGAAAAAUCGAACAUAUAGCAAACAUUGUUUCAACUUAUUGCACUUUAUUCUUAAGCUCCAUGAAGGUAAAUGAAGAAAACCUUGAUUUACUCUUAAAGUCAUAUAAUUAUUUAAUGACAAUGCUGACUUGUGUAGAAUCUUACAGAUCAUAAUUUGUUAUUAGAAUAAGUGCAGAACAUAAUACAAUGAACAAGUUCUUUCUAAGCUUCUUAGAUAAUUUUGAAUGCCCUAAUAUAAAUGUAUUUAAGUUAGUUGCUCUGACAUAAAGAAGUUUAAAUUGUUCUUGGUAAAGAUUUUCAUUUCUAAACCUUCAGUUUAUUAUGAUCUAAAUUACUGAGGCCACGAAAUUCAGACCUGAAGUACAUUAAAAGGAAAUAUUUUUAGGAGGUAAUAUCAGUGAUAAAUUCUAAAACCACAUAGUCAAGCUUUUUAUAAAGAGCAUAUCAUGAGCAUGUGCACGUUUACACUUUAAAAAUCUUCUCUAAAUUAUAUUUGAUUUUUGUGCUUAAACAUUACUUAUUUUUCAUAAAGCACAAAUUAUUUGUCUUUCAACAUUUUCUUACCACUCUGGAGUGUAUUUCUUUGGCAUACAAUGGGAAUAAAAAUUCUGAUUCCCCUUCCAAGCGUAGUCCGUCUUUUGUUACACGCAAGUGGCCCAUUCCUGUCUGUUAAAAAAAAUGAGAGAAAUUCAUUUUUUAUUGUUUACUUUUUCAUUUAUCUUAAUAUUGACUUAAAUCACACAUGCAUUUUCAUGUAUUGCCUACCACCUUUUCUCUAUUUCUCCUAAAUUAAAACUUUAGCUUUUUUUUUUUUUCUUUUUCCGAUGGAUCCUUGCUCUGUCGCCAGGCUGGAGUGCAAUGGCAUGAUCUUGGCUCACUGCAACCACCUCUGCCUCCUGUGUUCAAGCGAUUCUCCUGCCUCAGCCUCCUGAGUAGCUGGAACUACAGAUAGUUUGUUGUUUACCCAAAACAAUGGAAAUCAGGAACUGGAAGAGAUAUCUGCACUUUCAUGUUCAUCAUAGCACUAUGUAUAGUGGCCAAUCAAGAUGUGGAAAAAAUGUAAAUGCCCAUAGAGGACAAAUGAAUAAAGAAAAUGUAUAUCCAUAUAGUAGAAGAUUAUUCAACCUUAAAAAAGAAAGACAUUCUGCAGUGUGAGACAGCAUGGGACAGAAAUAAUUGCGUGGAAAGUGAAGAAUUAUAAUAAUAGGAGGUGUUUCAGAAUGAAUGACUUCAAGCAUUGUUUUUACAAAGAACCGGUGCACAUAUCACACCUUCAGAUGUGUGUAAGCAACAGACUGACCUGCCUGCGAUGUUCUCUGCAAUAUUAUUAACUCACUGUAGCUACCUCACAAAAUUAAGACAUGCUACAUUAAGCAUUUUUUCAAACGUACACAAAAUGUUAUCAGAGAAUAUAAGACUAUGUAGCUAUCUUUAAAAUACGAGAAUGUUUAAAAUAGAAUAUGAAUUCCUUAAGAUUGUUGAUGUUGUAGUUACUAAAUGUGUUGUCAGAUGCUGAAGUGUGUACAUGGAUUUACUGUAUAUCAGCAUGGGGUUUUUUAAAAAUGAAAGAGCAUAACUUGAUUACCUCUGUAAAUAAAAAAAUUAAAAAUGAGAGUGGCAUUUAGGUAAAUAUUUAUGAAUUAAUGAAAUUAGGAAAACUGAUUUAUACAGUUUUACAAACUGACGAAUUAAAUAAUCAGUAAAUCAUCUUGACUUAAUCAACCACAAACUAAAGACUAUGACGAUAUUCCCACUAUGUAGAGAUGACUAAUAAAAAAAUGUACUGUAAAAACACGCAAAAGCAGCAGACUAUAGUUUACAAUGAGGUUUAAAGAAAAGGGAAAAAUGUAAAUGCUACAUAUAUAUAUUUUGUUCCUGAAAUCUGAUUCGGGCAGAGAAAAAACAAAUGUUAAUUACAUUAAAGGAAACUCCUAUCAAUACAGUAUAGACAAAGCGAUAUAGUGAACAAAACAAGAACAUGCUUACCAGAAAACAACGAUACUUACUGGAGAA